GACGAACGCUGGCGGCGUGCUUAACACAUGCAAGUCGAACGGAAAGGCCCUGCUUUUGUGGGUUGCUCGAGUGGCGAACGGGUGAGUAACACGUGAGUAACCUGCCCUUGCCUUUGGGAUAACUUCAGGAAACUGGGGCUAAUACCGGAUAGGCGCUCCUGCUGCAUGGUGGGGGUUGGAAAGUUUCGGCGGUUGGUGAUUGACUCGCGGCUUGUCAGCUUGUUGGUGGGGUAGUGGCUUACCAAGGCUUAGACGAGUAGCCGGCCUGAGAGGGUGACCGGCCACAUUGGGACUGAGAUACGGCCCAGACUCGUACGGGAUGCAGGAGUGGGGAAGAUUGCACGAUGGGCGGAAGCCGGAUGCAGCAACGCCGCGUGCGGGAUGGCGGCCUUCGGGUUGUAAACGGCUUUCGCCUGUGACGAAGCGUGAGUGACGGUAAUGGGUAAAGAAGCACCGGCUAACUACGUG
rnacentral:rRNA from 1 species